rnacentral:rRNA from 1 species
AAUAGAUACCCUGGUAGUCCACGCCGUAAACGAUGUGCACUAGAUCGAGGAGGCUCUGACGCCGUUCUCGGUCGAAGGGAAAUUGCUUAGUGCACCGCCUGGGGAGUACGGUCGCAAGGCUAAAACUCAAAGGAAUUGACGGGGGCUCACACAAGCGGUGGAGCAUGUGGCUCAAUUCGAAGCAACGCGAAGAACCUUACCUGGGUUUGACAUGCACGGAUUAACUCCUGGAAACCAGGAGCCACACCCGCAAGGGUGGAACGUGCACAGGUGCUGCAUGGCUGUCGUCAGCUCGUGCUGUGAAGUGUCGGGUUAAGUCCCUUAACGAGCGAAACCCCUGUCGCUAGUUGCUAACAGGUAAUGCUGAGGACUCUAGCGAGACUGCCGGUGUCAAAUCGGACGAAGGUGGGGAUGACGUCAAGUCCUCAUGGCCUUUAUGCCCAGGGCUGCACACGUGCUACAAUGGCGUAUACAGAGCGACGCAAGACCGCAAGGUGGAGCAAAUCGCUAAAGUACGCCCC